rnacentral:misc_RNA from 1 species
UUUUUUUAGUUUUUAUUUAUCAUUUUUCAUCAGACUGGAUUUAAAAUAGAUUUAUUAAAUAUAUGGCUAUCCACCGACACUUCAUCAACCACUUGCAUUUUAAAUGGAUGAAGGGCAAAAUACUAAAGAAUACUAGAGAUUCAAUAAUAUAUAUACCGGUCUAGUGGAAGCAACGUGGAAUAGAUACACAAGGGAAAUUGGAAAAAAAAUAAAAAGGAAUUUUUAUUUUCUUUGAUAAUGAUCCUUCCGCAGGUUCACCUACGGAAA